UGUUGAGAAGUGUGCUGCCCCAUCUUGGGAUAUCAUAUCACAUCUCCUUUUAAAAUCCCUUAUUUCUCUUUGUACAAACCCUAAAACACUAUAAUAAGAAUAUACAAAAUGAGAGGCAAAAUGACUUACAAUUAAUCGAGAAUUCGAGAUUGUAGAGGUGAGAUGGAGACGUGAUAAUCUGAAGGUGCUCAAGCGAUCGGAGUUGUGGAAGUCGGAGAGGCACUCCGGACGGAGAGACUGAGAGACCGAGCGGCGGCGACGAUUCGGCGACUCCGGAGCCGGAGAAGAAACCGGUUGUGACGGAGAGGGCGAGAAUAAGGAGGCGGAGACAUAAUUAAGAGUUAUAAGUUUCUGGUUUUAUCUUUGAUACGUUUUCCACUUCUUUCUUUACCUUGUAGGUUAUUAAAUAGUUCAAAUUUUCAAAAAAAAAAUUGUACAAUAUCCCCACUUCUGUCAAAAUAGCUUCCGUCAAAAUAGGAUAGUUAGCUAUUUUGAAUUUGUAGCUUUUAUUUUAGUGGCUUCCGAUUCUUUUAGUUUCUCAAAUAUAUGCCUCUCUUUGGGAUUAACUUGAAAAUAAUUUCAAUGCUUAAUCCAUUAUUACAAAAGCUGUAGGGGCCGAUUUGUUGUUAUUUCUCAGAAAAUAGAGUUUACGGUUGUUGUUUGUAUAAUAUUUUCUAUUUAGAAGAUAGAAAAUCGGGGGGGGGGGGGGGGGGGGGGGGGGGAUGGCCUCCCCUGGCCCCUUCUUAGCUCCGCCACUAGGUGCAUCACCCUUUCAGCUUCCAUUGCCUUUUAGUGCUAAUCUCGAAACCCUAGCCAUAUUGAGUGCAUUUGUAUCUUACAUAUAGUGUUUGGGGGUUCUUUUGUGGUUUUGACAAAGAAGGAAAGGAGAAUAAUGAGCUUGUAGAUCUAGAAUUUGUGCAUCAUUUCUAGCCUAUUGAAUGUAUAAAGUCUGAAACUUGUUCAUUCUAAGCUUAUAUCUAGGUUUAAGGAUGAUUUUAGCAUCUUUUAGUCCCAUAACUUGGUCUUUUGGAGUAUGGGCUACUCGAGGCCAUUUAAGUUGUCCUUUGGGACUCUUGGGAGUGCAUGAAGUCAUAAAAAUAUUAUCUUGAAGGUUAAGACUCAACCAUGCAUGAGUUGGUGACCACCUAAGUGAGUUAAAGGGCUUAAUUCAUAGUUUGAGCCUCAAUAAGGCAUGCAAGAGCAUAAGGUUUGCAACUUUAUGACUUAAGACACUAUUAUGAGCUUGGAUCUAAGUUUUGGAUGUUAGGGCUUAAUGGAUUAAUUCAUGGGUGCAAGUUUGGGUUGACUGACCAAUACGUCGGGCGCCCUCUAGAUUACGCUGCGUGUACUGGGUCAGUGCCCCAAUUUCAGAUCAUCAGUGUAUGUUGGGUGUACGAGCCAUGUAUGUUGCGCGUACGUAGUCUGUGGACUUAAAAGAUUUUUGGGCUCAAAUCUGGUUGAGUUUUUUACUUGUUUAGGAUUGGGCCUCUGGCCCACCUGUUGUAGCAAGACAUUUGGUGGGAUUAAGGCCAUGUUGGGUGCUCUUGGGCCAUAUUGGGCCUUAAAGGACUUUGUAGUUGGGCUUGGAUGCCUUUUUGGACUUGUAUGGUUUUAGGACUUGGUGGGAGGGAGGCCCAUUGAGGCAAGGGUGAAGAAACCCUUUUUUCCUUAAGUCAAGAAUGAGGGUUUGGAAUUUCAGGUUAGGAUAUUGGCCCAAUCUCUAAUUAGGGUUUAUACUUGUGCCUUAGGGAGAGGAUUUCGCAAGUCAUCCAUUAAGUGCGAUUUUAUACCUUCAGUCUGAGGUACUUCCAGUUCGAAAGGGAAGGGACCGACCUGAUCGCACCGUAUCACCCUAUCGUUUCCGCAUUUUGAGAUUUUGGGAAUUUUUACUCUGAUAACACGUUGCUAUGAUACACUUUUGACAAUUUUGAUAUUAGUAUCGUAUGAUUUGAAUGAAUUUAAAAACAAAAUUUUAUUCAUAUAUUUGGGAUGUUACAAAUUUUAAAAACAAAUAGUUAAAUUUGUGGAAUUAUGUCACAAAAUCUUAAGUUUAACAUAUUUUGCUAAUGAGGAUGAAUCAACCAAUACAAAGAAAAAGUUACGUACAAGCCUUUACAUUUUCAAAUAUUAUUCUAAAAGUACAUGCUUUUGUAGCGGUGUGAAUACUUGAUCAAAUUCAAGUGAGCAUCAGGGAUUACGCGUGAUCAUCAUGGAUCUCGUGUGAGAAUUAUGGAUGCUCACAAGUUGAAGAUGCUCAAGGAGGAUCCUUAUCAGUUGAAUAUGCUCGAGGAGGACGCUUAUCAGUUGAAUAUGCUCAAGGAGGACGCUCAUCAAUUGAAGAUGCUUAAGGAGGAUGCUCAUUGGUUGACGAUGCUCAUGAGGUUGAAGGUUCCAAAAGCGUCCACAUGACAUUCCAUGAUUGGUUGGAAAUUAGGGCAUCCCCUUCAUAGGCUAAUUAUGAAUGGGCAUGACCCAUCAGAAUCAGGGGUUUCACAUGCUUGCUUAUGAAUAGGUGCAUAUCCCUAUUCAUUAUUUUUUGUGAGUACAUGUUUGAGUGUAUGAACACAAUAAUUUCAGGAAAAUUGAGUAAUCUAUCUA